UGGCUCUGUGGUGAAGCGGCUUAACACACCCGGCUUUCUACCGGGGAUACGCCAGUUCGAAUCUGGUCAGAGCUAU
rnacentral:tRNA from 1 species